AAGCCAGUGGUGAACUCCACAUACGCAUCCUUUGCUGAGGAUACGGUUAACGGAGCGAAAGCGACGUUCAACCGCAAAAGAAGCAGAGGGGGCUUAGUGGUGGGGUGACUGCGUACCUUUUGUAUAAUGGGUCAGCGACUUAUAUUCUGUAGCAAGGUUAACCGAAUAGGGGAGCCGCAGGGAAACCGAGUCUUAAUUGGGCGUUAAGUUGCAGGGUAUAGACCCGAAACCCGGUGAUCUAGCCAUGGGCAGGUUGAAGGUUGGGUAACACUAACUGGAGGACCGAACCGACUAAUGUUGAAAAAUUAGCGGAUGACCUGUGGCUGGGGGUGAAAGGCCAAUCAAACCGGGAGAUAGCUGGUUCUCCCCGAAAGCUAUUUAGGUAGCGCCUCGUGAAUUCAUCUCCGGGGGUAGAGCACUGUUUCGGCUAGGGGGCCAUCCCGGCUUACCAACCCGAUGCAAACUGCGAAUACCGGAGAAUGUUAUCACGGGAGACACACGGCGGGUGCUAACGUCCGUCGUGAAGAGGGAAACAACCCAGACCGCCAGCUAAGGUCCCAAAGUCAUGGUUAAGUGGGAAACGAUGUGGGAAGGCCCAGACAGCCAGGAUGUUGGCUUAGAAGCAGCCAUCAUUUAAAGAAAGCGUAAUAGCUCACUGGUCGAGUCGGCCUGCGCGGAAGAUGUAACGGGGCUAAACCAUGCAC
rnacentral:rRNA from 1 species